rnacentral:rRNA from 1 species
AUUGAACGCUGGCGGCAGGCCUGACACAUGCAAGUCGAGCGGAUGAAGGGAGCUUGCUCCUGGAUUCAGCGGCGGACGGGUGAGUAAUGCCUAGGAAUCUGCCUGGUAGUGGGGGAUAACGUCCGGAAACGGGCGCUAAUACCGCAUACGUCCUGAGGGAGAAAGUGGGGGAUCUUCGGACCUCACGCUAUCAGAUGAGCCUAGGUCGGAUUAGCUAGUUGGUGGGGUAAAGGCCUACCAAGGCGACGAUCCGUAACUGGUCUGAGAGGAUGAUCAGUCACACUGGAACUGAGACACGGUCCAGACUCCUACGGGAGGCAGCAGUAGGGAAUAUUGGACAAUGGGCGAAAGCCUGAUCCAGCCAUGCCGCGUGUGUGAAGAAGGUCUUCGGAUUGUAAAGCACUUUAAGUUGGGAGGAAGGGCAGUAAGUUAAUACCUUGCUGUUUUGACGUUACCAACAGAAUAAGCACCGGCUAACUUCGUG